rnacentral:tRNA from 1 species
AGCCCCGUAGUAUAGUGGAUAGUAUAGCGCACUCCUAAGGCGUAGACUCGGGUUCAAUUCCCGACGGGGCUG